GCGAGAGCCUGAACCAGCCAAGUCGCGUGAAGGAAGACUGCCUUAUGGGUUGUAAACUUCUUUUAUACAGGAAUAAAAAGAGAUACGUGUAUCUUAUUGCAUGUACUGUAUGAAUAAGCAUCGGCUAACUCCGUGCCAGCAGCCGCGGUAAUACGGAGGAUGCGAGCGUUAUCCGGAUUUAUUGGGUUUAAAGGGUGCGCAGGCGGGCUAUUAAGUCAGCGGUGAAAUUUUCAGGCUCAACCUGAACACUGCCGUUGAAACUGGUAGUCUUGAGUAUAGAUGAAGUAGGCGGAAUUCGUUGUGUAGCGGUGACAUGCUUAGAUAUAACGAGGAACUCCGAUUGCGUAGGUAGCUUACUAAACUAUAACUGACGCUCAUGCACGAAAGCGUGGGGAUCAAACAGGAUUAGAUACCCUGGUAGUCCACGCCGUAAACGAUGAUUACUAGUUGUAUGCGAUAUGAUAGUAUGUGACUAAGCGAAAGCGAUAAGUAAUCCACCUGGGGAGUACG
rnacentral:rRNA from 1 species